GACGAACGCUGGCGGCGUGCCUAACACAUGCAAGUCGAACGCAGUGGGGACGGGUGAGUAACACGUGGGUAACCUCCCAUCAGAGGGGAUAACACUUGGAAACAGGUGCUAAACCGAUACUGAUGGAUGGACUCGGGGUGCAUUAGCUAGUUGGUGAGGUAACGGGUCACCCAGGCCACGAUGCAUAGCCGUCCGGCGAGGGUGAUGGGGUACACUGGUACUGGGGCACUGCCCAGACUCCUACGGCAGGCAGCAGUAGGGAAUCUUCGGCAAUUGACGAAAGUCGGACCGCGCAACGCCACGUGUGUGAAGAAGGUUUUCGUGUCGUAAAACUCUGUUGUUAGAGAAGCGGUAUCUAACGAGAAAGCCACGGCUAACUACGUGCCAGCAGCCGCGGUAAUUC
rnacentral:rRNA from 1 species